UAGAGAGGCGGGCAGAGAGACAGACAGAUUAGAGAGGCGGGCAGAGAGACAGACAGAUUAGAGAGGCGGGCAGAGAGACAGACAGGUUAGAGAGGCGGGCAGAGAGACAGACAGGUUAGAGAGGCGGGCAGAGAGACAGACAGGUUAGAGAGGCGGGCAGAGAGACAGACAGGUUAGAGAGGCGGGCAGAGAGACAGACAGGUUAGAGAGGCGGGCAGAGAGACAGACAGGUUAGAGAGGCGGGCAGAGAGACAGACAGGUUAGAGAGGCGGGCAGAGAGACAGACAGGUUAGAGAGGCGGGCAGAGAGACAGACAGGUUAGAGAGGCGGGCAGAGAAACAGAUACAGGUUGGUCUGAAUGACUCUCUCAAAACAGCUCUCCUUGCCUGCAGAGAGACAGACAGGUUAGAGAGGUGGGCAGAGAGACAGACAGAUUAGAGAGGCGGGCAGAGAGACAGACAGAUUAGAGAGGCGGGCAGAGAGACAGACAGAUUAGAGAGGCGGGCAGAGAGACAGACAGAUUAGAGAGGUGGGCAGAGAGACAGACAGAUUAGAGAGGCGGGCAGAGAGACAGACAGAUUAGAGAGGCGGGCAGAGAGACAGACAGAUUAGAGAGGCGGGCAGAGAGACAGACAGAUUAGAGAGGUGGGCAGAGAGACAGACAGAUUAGAGAGGCGGGCAGAGAGACAGACAGGUUAGAGAGGCGGGCAGAGAGACAGACAGGUUAGAGAGGCGGGCAGAGAGACAGACAGA